GACGAACGCUGGCGGCGUGCUUAACACAUGCAAGUCGAACGGAAAGGCCCUGCUUUUGUGGGGUGCUCGAGUGGCGAACGGGUGAGUAACACGUGAGUAACCUGCCCUUGACUUUGGGAUAACUUCAGGAAACUGGGGCUAAUACCGGAUAGGAGCUCCUGCUGCAUGGUGGGGGUUGGAAAGUUUCGGCGGUGGGGGAUGGACUCGCGGCUUAUCAGCUUGUUGGUGGGGUAGUGGCUUACCAAGGCUUUGACGGGUAGCCGGCCUGAGAGGGUGACCGGCCACAUUGGGACUGAGAUACGGCCCAGACUCCUACGGGAGGCAGCAGUGGGGAAUAUUGCACAAUGGGCGGAAGCCUGAUGCAGCAACGCCGCGUGCGUGAUGACGGCCUUCGGGUUGUAAACCGCUUUCGCCUGUGACGAAGCGUGAGUGACGGUAAUGGGUAAAGAAGCACCGGCUAACUACGUG
rnacentral:rRNA from 1 species